GCCAUGGGGUUUGCGAUAUCCCCGUGAGGCUUAGGCCGAAUGAUCGCAUCCUUGUCACAAAACAAAGGGUGCAGCAUG
rfam:Thalassobius maritimus strain DSM 28223 genome assembly, contig: Ga0070000_101